GAUGGUUUCCACUCGCUUUCUCUCGUUGUGGAGUCCAAAUUCGACCAGAGUGAAAAUUUCUUCACGGAUGAUAUGCAAGACAAUCUACAUGUACGAUUGAGUAAAUAUACACUGCAAUAUUUUAGUGAUGGAUGAACAAAUUAAGUCCAAGAGACUGUG